GGUCCGGUCGUCUAGGGGUUAGGACGCCAGGUUUUCAUCCUGGUAACCGGGGUUCGAUUCCCCGUCGGACUG
rnacentral:tRNA from 2 species